AUGGCCAGGAUGGGCUCGGGGGGGCCGACCACAGCAAACUCAGCUGCGCAGGGGCUGAGCCAGCUGGACCACGGCGAGGCACACAGGGAGGGCAGGCAGCUGGAGCACCAGGCACCUCCCCAUCCUGACC